rnacentral:rRNA from 1 species
GUUGUUGUGGUUAAAAAGCUCGUAGUUGAACCUUGGGCCUGGCUGGCCGGUCCGCCUCACCGCGUGUACUGGUCCGGCCGGGCCUUUCCCUCUGUGGAACCCCAUGCCCUUCACUGGGCGUGGCGGGGAAACAGGACUUUUACUUUGAAAAAAUUAGAGUGCUCCAGGCAGGCCUAUGCUCGAAUACAUUAGCAUGGAAUAAUGAAAUAGGACGCGCGGUUCUAUUUUGUUGGUUUCUAGGACCGCCGUAAUGAUUAAUAGGGACAGUCGGGGGCAUCAGUAUUCAAUGGUCAGAGGUGAAAUUCUUGGAUCCAUUGAAGACUAACUACUGCGAAAGCAUUUGUCAAGGAUGUUUUCAUUAAUCAGGAACGAAAGUUAGGGGAUCGAAGACGAUCAGAUACCGUCGUAGUCUUAACCAUAAACUAUGCCGACUAGGGAUCGGACGAUGUUAUUUUUUGACUCGUUCGGCACCUUACGAGAAAUCAAAGUGCUUGGGCUCCAGGGGGAGUAUGGUCGCAAGGCUGAAACUUAAAGAAAUUGACGGAAGGGCACCACCAGGGGUGGAGCCUGCGGCUUAAUUUGACUCAACACGGGGAAACUCACCAGGUCCAGACACAAUGAGGAUUGACAGAUUGAGAGCUCUUUCUUGAUUUUGUGGGGUGGUGGUGCAUGGCCGUUCUUAGUUGGUGGAGUGAUUUGUCUGCUUAAUUGCGAUAACGAACGAGACCUUAACCUGCUAAAUAGCCCGUACUGCUCCGGCAGUGCGCCGGCUUCUUAGAGGGACUAUCGGCUCAAGCC